CUCUUCGCCCCCUCUCUUCCCAUCGGUGAGCUCCUCUCCUCUAUCACCGCCGCCUUUGCCGUUUGUGCCCCCAACCAUUGUUGCCAUCCGUGCCUCUUUGUCACCAUUGUCAUCUGCAAAACCCUCUUCCUUCCCCACCUCUGACAUCGCCAUUGCCGUCUGCCGUCCACCGAAGGUAAGAGUACUUCCAACCCUUGUUUUUUUGGUUGAUCGGGCCACA
rnacentral:lncRNA from 1 species